GUGCUCACUUCGGCAGCAAAUAUACUAAAAUUGGAACGAUACAGAGAAGAUUAGCAUGGCCCCUGCGCAAGGAGGACACAUAAAAAUUAAAACAAAAACUUUGCU